UCCCACCCUAGCUGGAAAACAUCUCCCAUGUGCCAGUCUGGUGGGAUGCUCUCUCCAUGAGGCUUUGGGGUUUGAUUUGUUUGAUUUCCCAUCUGGCUUUUAGCCAAAGCUCUCCCUGGUCAGAUUUGGUGGCGUUUGUUUGAUUGUCACUCCUCCCACCCCUGCAGCACCUGAGGCCAAUUGAAGUCUCCUCCCACCCCAGCUGUGGCCACUUUGCCCUCCCUGCUCAGUGCCCUUUAUAAGCAGAGCAGGAGGAGCCCAGCCCCAAGCUGGGCCCAUUGCGGGCCAAGGGAUCCUCCGCCUGGCAUCCCAGGUGAGUGCGCACGGGUGAGCACCGGGUGCGUGGUGGAGGGUUUCAAAGGCCGGGGGGCCUGGCUGGCCCCCCGGCUAGCUAGGGCCACCUUAGGGCUGGGCUACUGACCCACUGCAACAUCCACCUUAGCUCACGGGUGCUAAGUCUGUGUUGUUACUGAGGCUGAGGUUUCUCUAGGAGGUUGGAUCCUCGAAGGUUUUGCUCUGGGUUCUGCGAUGGAGGCAAAGAUGGAGCAGGAGCACCAACUGGAGCUGGUAACGGACCAGGAUCCUCCAAAGUUUUGCUCUGGGUUCUGCGAUGGAUGUGAACGUGGAGCAGGAGCACCAACUGGAGCUGGUAAUGGAACUGGCAACGCAGCAGAAGCGGGCUGGCUGGAGGAGAGCCUAUGUUGGAGCUGCGUUAAGCUGCCCGGGGGCAGGCAGCGCUGCCAGGACCCUGCCGGACACCCGCACAGGCUGUGCCCCGCCCCAGCAGGAGCUUUUAUUGUCCUGCUGCAAGGAGGCUCUGGGUGCAGCUCAGAGCUGCCUUGCACCGUCUGAAGGGGCUCUCCAGGAAGGAGUCCCUCAGCCUGCUCUCAGCUCUCCUUCAGCUGUUGAAACGCAGCUCUAAGGUCUCCCUGGAGCCUUCUCUCCAGGCUGAGCAGCCACAGCUCUCUCAGGCUGCCUUCACAGCAGAGCUUCUCCCAUCCUCUGCUCAUGCUUGUGGCCUGCUCUGGAAACCCUCCAGCAGGUCCCUGUCUCCCUUGUGUUGGGGGUGCCCCAGAGCUGGCCACAGCAGUCCAGGCUGAGGUCUCCCCAAAGCAGAGGGGCAGAUGGUUCACAAGCACAGACACAGCAGGCUGCCCAACGACCUUCCCACACUGCAGCUGCAGGUUUCAGUCAGAUCCUUUUAGUAUCAAAGCUGAGAGUUGAGGGCUAAGGCACCAGCAGCACUGUCCUUCGAGCCAGAGAAACAAACACCAAAUGAAAUGAGACUUCUCUUAACUGCAGUUCAAUUGCCCAAGCCAAGCACUAGGACAACAACCAUGCAGAUGAAUUGGAUGACUUGAAAAGCCUUAACAGCUUGAUGAGGCUACUCCAACACAGUGACCAGUUACAAACUGCUUCCCUGUGGAAGCAUUUUCGCUUCCAAUGUUCUCCAAGCACCUGAUUUUUCACACAGACCCUUUCCUCUGUGGCCCCAAAGGUAUUCAUUAAUUAAAGGAAGAUCCUUGCUUUUCAGGAAGAACAAUAAGAGAGGUUCAUUGGUCUAAAAAAUCCUUGCAGCUUUCGUCUUGGAUUGUUGAAAUGAGCUGUAAUGAAUGCCAAGUUUCUGGCCAGGUGAGCUGGGUUCAAGGCAAGUGUUGAUGAACACAAACAAAUGACAAAGCUGCUCCCAAAAUGUGCCUCAGCUGAAAGCACAAAGUGAUGCCUACGUCUGUUUGUUCCCUCCUUACCUGCUGGUCGUGACCCUAACUACAGACCCUCUGCCUGCACUGCCUAACAGGCUCAGCAGCGUCAGAGCAGAGAGGCAGCCACAGGCUUUCAA